rnacentral:rRNA from 1 species
AACGAACGCUGGCGGCAGGCUUAACACAUGCAAGUCGAGCGCCCCGCAAGGGGAGCGGCAGACGGGUGAGUAACGCGUGGGAACCUACCCUGUACUACGGAAUAGCUCCGGGAAACUGGAAUUAAUACCGUAUACGCCCCAAGGGGGAAAGAUUUAUCGGUAUAGGAUGGGCCCGCGUUGGAUUAGCUAGUUGGUGGGGUAAUGGCCUACCAAGGCGACGAUCCAUAGCUGGUCUGAGAGGAUGAUCAGCCACACUGGGACUGAGACACGGCCCAGACUCCUACGGGAGGCAGCAGUGGGGAAUAUUGGACAAUGGGCGAAAGCCUGAUCCAGCCAUGCCGCGUGAGUGAUGAAGGCCUUAGGGUUGUAAAGCUCUUUCAGUAGGGAAGAUAAUGACGGUACCCACAGAAGAAGCCCCGGCUAACUUCGUGCCAGCCGCCGCAGUAAAAC